AUGGCUAUAAUGUUGUUCUGCCUUCUACAGCUUGCUGCACCGCUCUGUAGUUACUCUAUUACCAUACGUUUCUAUCUUUUUUGGUUAAACACUCCCUGA